rnacentral:rRNA from 1 species
CAUUCCGAACACAGAAGUUAAGCUCUUUAGCGCCGAUGGUACUUGGUGGGAAGCUGCCUGGGAGAGUAGGACGUAGCUAGGU